rnacentral:rRNA from 1 species
UUAAGCGACUAAGCGUACACGGUGGAUGCCCUGGCAGUCAGAGGCGAUGAAGGACGUGCUAAUCUGCGAUAAGCGUCGGUGAGGUGAUAUGAACCGUUAUAACCGGCGAUUUCCGAAUGGGGAAACCCAGUGUGUUUCGACACACUAUCAUUAACUGAAUCCAUAGGUUAAUGAGGCGAACCGGGGGAACUGAAACAUCUAAGUACCCCGAGGAAAAGAAAUCAACCGAGAUUCCCCCAGUAGCGGCGAGCGAACGGGGAGGAGCCCAGAGCCUGAAUCAGUGUGUGUGUUAGUGGAAGCGUCUGGAAAGGCGUGCGAUACAGGGUGACAGCCCCGUACACAAAAAUGCACAUAUUGUGAGCUCGAUGAGUAGGGCGGGACACGUGGUAUCCUGUCUGAAUAUGGGGGGACCAUCCUCCAAGGCUAAAUACUCCUGACUGACCGAUAGUGAACCAGUACCGUGAGGAAAGGCGAAAAGAACCCCGGCGAGGGGAGUGAAAAAGAACCUGAAACCGUGUACGUACAAGCAGUGGGAGCCUCUUAAUGGGGUGACUGCGUACCUUUUGUAUAAUGGGUCAGCGACUUAUAUUCUGUAGCAAGGUUAACCGAAUAGGGGAGCCGAAGGGAAACCGAGUCUUAACUGGGCGUUAAGUUGCAGGGUAUAGACCCGAAACCCGGUGAUCUAGCCAUGGGCAGGUUGAAGGUUGGGUAACACUAACUGGAGGACCGAACCGACUAAUGUUGAAAAAUUAGCGGAUGACUUGUGGCUGGGGGUGAAAGGCCAAUCAAACCGGGAGAUAGCUGGUUCUCCCCGAAAGCUAUUUAGGUAGCGCCUCGUGAAUUCAUCUCCGGGGGUAGAGCACUGUUUCGGCAAGGGGGUCAUCCCGACUUACCAACCCGAUGCAAACUGCGAAUACCGGAGAAUGUUAUCACGGGAGACACACGGCGGGUGCUAACGUCCGUCGUGAAGAGGGAAACAACCCAGACCGCCAGCUAAGGUCCCAAAGUCAUGGUUAAGUGGGAAACGAUGUGGGAAGGCCCAGACAGCCAGAUGUUGGCUUAGAAGCAGCCAUCAUUUAAAGAAAGCGUAAUAGCUCACUGGUCGAGUCGGCCUGCGCGGAAGAUGUAACGGGGCUAAACCAUGCACCGAAGCUGCGGCAGCGACACUAUGUGUUGUUGGGUAGGGGAGCGUUCUGUAAGCCUGUGAAGGUGGCCUGUGAGGGUUGCUGGAGGUAUCAGAAGUGCGAAUGCUGACAUAAGUAACGAUAAAGCGGGUGAAAAGCCCGCUCGCCGGAAGACCAAGGGUUCCUGUCCAACGUUAAUCGGGGCAGGGUGAGUCGACCCCUAAGGCGAGGCCGAAAGGCGUAGUCGAUGGGAAACAGGUUAAUAUUCCUGUACUUGGUGUUACUGCGAAGGGGGACGGAGAAGGCUAUGUUGGCCGGGCGACGGUUGUCCCGGUUUAAGCGUGUAGGCUGGUUUUCCAGGCAAAUCCGGAAAACCAAGGCUGAGGCGUGAUGACGAGGCACUACGGUGCUGAAGCGACAAAUGCCCUGCUUCCAGGAAAAGCCUCUAAGCAUCAGGUAACAUCAAAUCGUACCCCAAACCGACACAGGUGGUCAGGUAGAGAAUACCAAGGCGCUUGAGAGAACUCGGGUGAAGGAACUAGGCAAAAUGGUGCCGUAACUUCGGGAGAAGGCACGCUGAUAUGUAGGUGAAGCGACUUGCUCGUGGAGCUGAAAUCAGUCGAAGAUACCAGCUGGCUGCAACUGUUUAUUAAAAACACAGCACUGUGCAAACACGAAAGUGGACGUAUACGGUGUGACGCCUGCCCGGUGCCGGAAGGUUAAUUGAUGGGGUUAGCGGCAACGCGAAGCUCUUGAUCGAAGCCCCGGUAAACGGCGGCCGUAACUAUAACGGUCCUAAGGUAGCGAAAUUCCUUGUCGGGUAAGUUCCGACCUGCACGAAUGGCGUAAUGAUGGCCAGGCUGUCUCCACCCGAGACUCAGUGAAAUUGAACUCGCUGUGAAGAUGCAGUGUACCCGCGGCAAGACGGAAAGACCCCGUGAACCUUUACUAUAGCUUGACACUGAACAUUGAGCCUUGAUGUGUAGGAUAGGUGGGAGGCUUUGAAGUGUGGACGCCAGUCUGCAUGGAGCCGACCUUGAAAUACCACCCUUUAAUGUUUGAUGUUCUAACGUUGGCCCGUAAUCCGGGUUGCGGACAGUGUCUGGUGGGUAGUUUGACUGGGGCGGUCUCCUCCUAAAGAGUAACGGAGGAGCACGAAGGUUGGCUAAUCCUGGUCGGACAUCAGGAGGUUAGUGCAAUGGCAUAAGCCAGCUUGACUGCGAGCGUGACGGCGCGAGCAGGUGCGAAAGCAGGUCAUAGUGAUCCGGUGGUUCUGAAUGGAAGGGCCAUCGCUCAACGGAUAAAAGGUACUCCGGGGAUAACAGGCUGAUACCGCCCAAGAGUUCAUAUCGACGGCGGUGUUUGGCACCUCGAUGUCGGCUCAUCACAUCCUGGGGCUGAAGUAGGUCCCAAGGGUAUGGCUGUUCGCCAUUUAAAGUGGUACGCGAGCUGGGUUUAGAACGUCGUGAGACAGUUCGGUCCCUAUCUGCCGUGGGCGCUGGAGAACUGAGGGGGGCUGCUCCUAGUACGAGAGGACCGGAGUGGACGCAUCACUGGUGUUCGGGUUGUCAUGCCAAUGGCACUGCCCGGUAGCUAAAUGCGGAAGAGAUAAGUGCUGAAAGCAUCUAAGCACGAAACUUGCCCCGAGAUGAGUUCUCCCUGACUCCUUGAGAGUCCUGAAGGAACGUUGAAGACGACGACGUUGAUAGGCCGGGUGUGUAAGCGCAGCGAUGCGUUGAGCUAACCGGUACUAAUGAACCGUGAGGCUUAACCUU